rnacentral:rRNA from 1 species
GUGGGGAAUAUUGGACAAUGGGCGCAAGCCUGAUCCAGCGACGCCGCGUGUGUGAUGAAGGCCUUCGGGUCGUAAAGCACUGUGGGGAGGGAAGAAAACCUCGCGUUCAAAUAGGGCGCGGGCCUGACGGUACCUCCUUAGCAAGCACCGGCUAACUCUGUGCCAGCAGCCGCGGUAAGACAGAGGGUGCGAACGUUGCUCGGAAUUACUGGGCGUAAAGCGCGUGUAGGCGGGUGCGCAAGUCAGCUGUGAAAGCCCCGGGCUCAACCCGGGAACGGCAUUUGAAACUGCGCGCCUAGAGUAAUGGAGAGGGAAGCGGAAUUCCUGGUGUAGAGGUGAAAUUCGUAGAUAUCAGGAGGAACACCGGUGGCGAAGGCGGCUUCCUGGACAUUCACUGACGCUGAGACGCGAAAGCGUGGGGAGCAAACAGGAUUAGAUACCCUUGUAGUCC